UUAAGGAUUAGAUACCCCACUAUGCUUUGSYRYAWACAUUGAUAGUUYUAUACAACYACAUAUCCGCCUGGGAACUACGAGCAAUAGCUUAAAACCCAAAGGACUUGGCGGUGCUUUAGAUCCACCUAGAGGAGCCUGUUCUGAAACCGAUAAUCCCCGUUCAACCUCACCUUUCCUUGUUCUUCCCGCCUAUAUACCACCGUCGUCAGCUUACCCUAUGAAGGCCCACUAGUAAGCGAAAUUGGCACAGCCCAAAACGUCAGGUCGAGGUGUAGCGUAUGGAAAGGGAAGAAAUGGGCUACAUUCCCUGUCACAGUGAAUUUACGGAUAAUACCACUGAAACGUGUAUCUAGAAGGAGGAUUUAGCAGUAAGCAGAAAAUAGAGCGUUCUGCUGAMACUGSCYCUSMMGCGCGCACACACCGCCCGUCA
rnacentral:rRNA from 1 species